CAGAGUAAGUACCGACGCGUUAAGUGCUGUCUGGACGGGGAGUUGUCAGACGGACGAAAGCCGCAUGAACUGCGCGCUGCGGUGACGGUACUGCAUCCCGCUGU
rnacentral:ncRNA from 1 species